UACGGAGGGAGCUAGCGUUGUUCGGAAUUACUGGGCGUAAAGCGCACGUAGGCGGCGAUUCAAGUCAGAGGUGAAAGCCCGGGGCUCAACUCCGGAACUGCCUUUGAAACUAGAUUGCUAGAAUCUUGGAGAGGCGAGUGGAAUUCCGAGUGUAGAGGUGAAAUUCGUAGAUAUUCGGAAGAACACCAGUGGCGAAGGCGACUCGCUGGACAAGUACUGACGCUGAGGUGCGAAAGCGUGGGGAGCAAACAGG
rnacentral:rRNA from 1 species